UGGGGGAUAUUGCACAAUGGGCGAAAGCCUGAUGCAGCGACGCCGCGUGGGGGAUGAAGGCUUUCGGGUUGUAAACCUCUUUCGCUAUCGAACAAGGCCCGCUUAGGGUGGGUUGAGGGUAGGUGGAGAAGAAGCGCCGGCUAACUACGUGCCAGCAGCCGCGGUAAUACGUAGGGCGCGAGCGUUGUCCGGAUUUAUUGGGCGUAAAGGGCUUGUAGGCGGCUUGUUGCGCCUGCUGUGAAAACGCGGGGCUUAACUUCGCGCGUGCAGUGGGUACGGGCAGGCUUGAGUGUGGUAGGGGUGACUGGAAUUCCAGGUGUAGCGGUGGAAUGCGCAGAUAUCUGGAGGAGCACCGAUGGCGAAGGCAGGUCACUGGGCCAUUACUGACGCUGAGGAGCGAAAGCAUGGGUAGCGAACAGG
rnacentral:rRNA from 1 species